GACAAGCCUUGGGGCCAAGGGAAGCCCUAUACAGCAUACUUGAGCUGGUGAAAAUCUUAUCCUUGAGUAGAAAGGAAUCAAACAAGUCAUAUACCACCCGUCUUCCUGUCUGUACUGGAACCAUCACAGGCUUUUGAGGAACUACUUUUGAACCGUUCCCCAGAGAGGCAUUUGCCCCAGUAGCUAUGAUUAUAAUUUGCAAUGACAGCCACAGUGAUUUCAUCCUUCUGGGCUUCUCUAACAAGCCACAUUUGGAGAAGAUACUUUUUGGAUCAUUUUUAUUUUUUAUUUUUUGACUCUUGCAGGAAAUAUGGUCAUAGUUCUUGUGUCCUUGAAGGAUCCAAAACUCCACAUCCCUAUGUAUUUCUUUCUUUCCAACCUUUCCUUGGUAGACCUCUGUUUGACCAGCAGCUGUGUUCCACAGAUGUUGAUUAACUUCUGGGGCCCAGAAAAGACCAUCAGCUACAUUGGCUGUGCCAUUCAACUCUAUGUUUUUUUGUGGCUUGGGGCCACGGAAUGUGUCCUUCUUGUUGUCAUGGCUGUGGAUUGUUAUGUAGCAGUGUGUCAUCCACUGCAAAAUACCAUGAUCAUGCACCCAAAACUUUGUCUGCAGCUGGCUAUCUUGGCAUGGGGGACUGGCUUGGCCCAGUCUCUGAUCCAGUCCCCUGCCACCCUCCGGUUACCCUUCUGCUCCCAGCGGAUGGUGGAUGAUGUUGUUUGUGAAGUCCCAGCUCUGAUUCAGCUCUCCAGUACUGAUACUACCUACAGUGAAAUUCAGAUGUCUAUCGCCAGUGUUGUCCUCCUGGUGAUGCCCUUGAUCAUUAUCCUUUCCUCUUCUGGUGCUAUUGCUAAGGCUGUGCUGAGAAUUAAGUCAACUGCAGGACAGAAGAAAGCAUUUGGCACCUGCAUCUCUCACCUUCUUGUGGUUUCUCUCUUUUAUGGCACUGUCACAGGUGUCUACCUUCAACCAAAAAAUCACUAUCCUCAUGAAUGGGGCAAAUUUCUCACUCUUUUCUACACUGUAGUAACCCCAACUCUUAAUCCCCUCAUCUACACUCUAAGGAACAAGGAGGUAAAGGGAGCACUAAUAAGAUUGGGGAGGAGGACCUGGGAUUCCCAGAAUAACUAACAAGGUUAACAUAUGUUUACCUUUGCUUAACCUAAGAAUAGAGAACAACCUCAUCACAAAAAGCUGGAGAUACACCUCCUAAGCCAAAAGUAGGAGAGAAAGAGCUGCAUUCUGUUCAGGUUGAGAUUUCAGUUUCCUUCAUCAAUCAAUUGGGCCCUUAAAUUCUUCAUAUUGUGGAUUUAGACACAGUAUGGUAUAAAAAUUAAUAUAUUUAAUAGCUAUUGUCUUGAAAAGGACACAAUGCAAUUGAAUGGGGGAGGAGGAGAAGACACAAGAAACACAUUACUUGCAAAAUAAAAUACUAAGUAGUACGUUUCAUGCCUUUCUAUUUCGUUCUUUUUUUGUUCUAUUUUCCUACAAGCUCCACCAGUGCUUUCAGUCCCAACAAGAUUUCUAAAGUUUUGAGACAGAAACUUCUUGAUCAACUUAUAUGUACCCCUAUACUGUAAUAUGGCAGGUCUUGGUUUUAAUUGCUUCUGUCUCUCUGUCUCAGCAUGACCACUGUUGACCUGUAAUGUGACUUUCACUAUCCAAUGCAAAGUGUUUGCCAUGCCAAAGUCCACAUUUACUGCUCUCUGGUGCUGAUACUAUGAUGAGUGUGUGUGCAAGUUUCUCAGUUUGAGCCUUGAUAUUCUGGGCCCCCAGUUAUAGGAAUAGACUUCUGUGUUUUUCUUCAUUCUGAGGCCUUAUUGUAACAAAAUGGUUAUCUUUUUAUCAGACCCAAUUAUUCUUUCACUUUAUAGAUAUUUAUGGC
rnacentral:lncRNA from 1 species